rnacentral:snRNA from 1 species
UCAUCAUGGGCUUGUAACCAUUGA